GCCGGAUUAGCUCAGUGGUAGAGCAACCGCCUUGUAAGCGGUCGGUCGUCAGUUCGAAUCCGACAUCCGGCACCA
rnacentral:tRNA from 5 species